rnacentral:rRNA from 1 species
GACGGAGACCCCGAGCGUUGUUCGGAAUCAUUGGGCUUAAAGAGCGUGUAGGCGGAACGGUAAGUACCUUGUGAAAGCCCCGGGCUCAACCCGGGAAUGGCUCGGUAUACUGUCGUUCUUGAGGCAGGUAGGGGUUACUGGAACCUUAGGUGGAGCGGUGAAAUGCGUAGAUAUCUAAGGGAACGCCUGUGGCGAAAGCGGGUAACUGGGCCUGUCCUGACGCUGAGACGCGAAAGCGUAGGGAGCAAACGGGAUUAGAUACCCCGGUAGUCUACGCCGUAAACGAUGCGCACUAGGUUCGAGGAUUUCUGAUGAUCGUCGUGCCGAAACAAAAGCGAUAAGUGCGCCGCCUGGGGAGUACGGCCGCAAGGCUAAAACUCAAAGGAAUUGACGGGGGCUCACACAAGCGGUGGAGCAUGUGGAUCAAUUCGAAGCAACGCGAAGAACCCUACCUGGGUUUGACAUGCGCGGAUGCUCUCGGUGAAAGUCGAGUAGGCUGCCUUCGGGUGAAACGUGCACAGGUGCUGCAUGGCUGUCGUCAGCUCGUGCUGUGAAGUGUCGGGUUAAGUCCCUUAACGAGCGAAACCCUUGUCGCUAGUUGCCAGCGGUUCGGCCGGGAACUCUAGCGAGACUGCCGGCGUUAAGCCGGAGGAAGGUGGGGACGACGUCAAGUCAUCAUGGCCUUUAUGCCCAGGGUGUCACACGUGCUACAAUGGGGCGCACAGAGCGACGCGAGACCGUGAGGUGGAGCAAAUCGCAGAAAACGUCCCUCAGUUCGGAUUGGGGUCUGCAAUUCGACCCCAUGAAGUCGGAAUCGCUAGUAAUCGCGUAUCAGCCAUGACGCGGUGAAUAUGUUCCUGAGCC